rfam:Schistosoma margrebowiei strain Zambia genome assembly, scaffold: SMRZ_contig0001490
AGCUUUCUGAAUCCGUGCGGAGAUUUCAUCAGACACCAGACCUUCAGGACUGAUGAGAAUCUUAAGAUAAGUGAGGCA